GGACCCGCACAAGCGGUGGAGCAUGUGGUUUAAUUCGAUGCAACGCGAAAAACCUUACCUACUCUUGACAUACUUGGAAGCUCUUGUAAUGAGAGUGUGCCUUUUGGAGCCAAGAUACAGGUGCUGCAUGGCUGUCGUCAGCUCGUGUCGUGAGAUGUUCCGUUAAGUCGGAUAACGAGCGCAACCCUUACCCUUAUUUGCCAGCGAUUCGGUCGGGAACUAUAAGGGGACUGCCGGUGAUAAACCGGAGGAAGGUGAGGACGACGUCAAGUCAUCAUGGCCCUUACGAGUAGGGCUACACACGUGCUACAAUGGGGAAUACAGACGGACGCUAAGCCGCGAGGUGGUGCUAAUCUUCAAAGCCGAUCACAGUUCGGAUCGGAGUCUGCAACUCGACUCCGUG
rnacentral:rRNA from 1 species